UACGGAGGGUGCGAGCGUUGUCCGGAAUCAUUGGGCGUAAAGGGCUCGUAGGCGGUUUGUCGCGUCGGGAGUGAAAACACGGGGCUUAACCCCGUGCCUGCUUCCGAUACGGGCAGACUAGAGGUAUGCAGGGGAGAACGGAAUUCCUGGUGUAGCGGUGAAAUGCGCAGAUAUCAGGAGGAACACCGAUGGCGAAGGCAGAUCUCUGGGCCGUAACUGACGCUGAGGAGCGAAAGCAUGGGGAGCGAACAGG
rnacentral:rRNA from 1 species